GACGAACGCUGGCGGCGUGCCUAAUACAUGCAAGUAGAACGCACAGUUUAUACCGUAGCUUGCUACACCAUAGACUGUGAGUUGCGAACGGGUGAGUAACGCGUAGGUAACCUGCCUGGUAGCGGGGGAUAACUAUUGGAAACGAUAGCUAAUACCGCAUAAUAUUAAUUAUUGCAUGAUAAUUAAUUGAAAGGUGCAAUUGCACCACUACCAGAUGGACCUGCGUUGUAUUAGCUAGUAGGUGAGGUAACUGCUCACCUAGGCGACGAUACAUAGCCGACCUGAGAGGGUGAUCGGCCACACUGGGACUGAGACACGGCCCAGACUCCUACGGGAGGCAGCAGUAGGGAAUCUUCGGCAAUGGACGAAAGUCUGACCGAGCAACGCCGCGUGAGUGAAGAAGGUUUUCGGAUCGUAAAGCUCUGUUGUAAGAGAAGAACGGGUGUGAGAGUGGAAAGUUCACACUGUGACGGUAUCUUACCAGAAAGGGACGGCUAACUACGUG
rnacentral:rRNA from 1 species